rnacentral:rRNA from 1 species
UACGUAGGGGGCUAGCGUUGUCCGGAAUCAUUGGGCGUAAAGAGCGUGUAGGCGGUCCGGUAAGUCCGCUGUGAAAGUCGGGGGCUCAACCCUCGAAUGCCGAUGGAUACUGUGAGGCUAGAGUCCGGAAGAGGCGAGUGGAAUUCCUGGUGUAGCGGUGGAAUGCGCAGAUAUCAGGAGGAACACCAAUAGCGAAGGCAGCUCGCUGGGACGGUACUGACGCUAAGGCGCGAAAGCGUGGGGAGCGAACAGG